UACGUAGGGUGCGAGCGUUAAUCGGAAUUACUGGGCGUAAAGCGUGCGCAGGCGGUUCGCUAAGACCGAUGUGAAAUCCCCGGGCUUAACCUGGGAACUGCAUUGGUGACUGGCGGGCUAGAGUGUGGCAGAGGGGGGUAGAAUUCCACGUGUAGCAGUGAAAUGCGUAGAGAUGUGGAGGAAUACCGAUGGCGAAGGCAGCCCCCUGGGCUAACACUGACGCUCAUGCACGAAAGCGUGGGGAGCAAACGGG
rnacentral:rRNA from 1 species